rnacentral:rRNA from 1 species
AGUGAACGCUGGCGGUAGGCCUAACACAUGCAAGUCGAACGGCAGCACAGGAGAGCUUGCUCUCUAGGUGGCGAGUGGCGGACGGGUGAGGAAUACAUCGGAAUCUGCCCAGUCGUGGGGGAUAACGUAGGGAAACUUACGCUAAUACCGCAUACGACCUUCGGGUGAAAGAGGGGGAUCGCAAGACCUCUCGCGAUUGGAUGAGCCGAUGUCGGAUUAGCUAGUUAGCGGGGUAAUGGCCCACCAAGGCGACGAUCCGUAGCUGGUCUGAGAGGAUGAUCAGCCACACUGGAACUGAGACACGGUCCAGACUCCUACGGGAGGCAGCAGUGGGGAAUAUUGGACAAUGGGCGCAAGCCUGAUCCAGCCAUACCGCGUGGGUGAAGAAGGCCUUCGGGUUGUAAAGCCCUUUUGUUGGAAAAGAAAUCUUUCAGGCUAAUACCCUGGGAGGAUGACGGUACCCAAAGAAUAAGCACCGGCUAACUUCGUG